CUUCUACGAUGAAGACAUUUUCAAAGAAGUUCCUUGAAUCUCUCCCAAGCAUGUGAGGCUGCUUCAUCAUUCCCUUGCUGAAACAAAAAAUAUCAUUUCUAAAACU